rnacentral:lncRNA from 1 species
CUCUCCUCUGAGCCUCUACUACUGUGGGUUUGCCUGUCUCUCCUCUGAGCCUCUACUACUGUGAGUUUGCCUGUCUCUCCUCUGAGCCUCUACUACUGUGGGUUUGCCUGUCUCUCCUCUGAGUCUCUACUGCUGUGGGUUUGCCUGUCUCUCUGAGCCUCUACUACCGUUGGCCGUGUUAGGGCCCGCCUCUCCUUCUCCCUUUCCUCCAAUGACACUGACCCAGUUAGGGUCCGCCUCUCGUUCUCCCUUUCCUCCAAUGGCACUGAGCCAGUUAGGGUCCGCCUCUCGUUCUCCCUUUCCACCAAUGGCACUGACCCAGUUAGGGUCCGCCUCUCGUUCUCCCUUUCCACCAAUGACACUGAGCCAGUUAGGGUCCGCCUCUCGUUCUCCCUUUCCACCAAUGACACUGACCCAGUUAGGGUCCGCCUCUCGUUCUCCCUUUCCACCAAUGGCACUGAGCCAGUUAGGGUCCGCCUCUCGUUCUCCCUUUCCACCAAUGACACUGACCCAGUUAGGGUCCGCCUCUCGUUCUCCCUUUCCACCAAUGACACUGACCCAGUUCGGGUCCGCCUCUCGUUCUCCCUUUCCACCAAUGACACUGACCCAGUUCGGGUCCGCCUCUCGUUCUCCCUUUCCACCAAUGGCACUGACCCAGUUAGGGUCCGCCUCUCCUUCUCCCUUUCCACCAAUGACACUGAGCCAGUUAGGGUCCGCCUCUCCUUCUCCCUUUCCACCAAUGACACUGAGCCAGUUCGGGACACCGUCUUCCAGCUGAUGGUGAAACUCGAGUCUCACCACAUUAUUUCUGCCUCGUUAACAAAUUCACCUUGUUGCUCCUAUGAACAGAGAAAUUGAAAUUCCUUGAUAUUUAGAAAAACGACCCAAGCUUCUAAUAAUAACAAUGCAGGUCUAUCGAUACACUUUUCACCUCAUUCAUUACUGUUGACAGCUCUGAGUGGGACGAAGGACGAAGGCACGUGUUGACAGCUCUGAGUGGGACGAAGGACGAAGGCACGUGUUGACAGCUCUGAGUGGACGAAGGACAAAGGCACGUGUUGACAGCUCUGAGUGGGACGAAGGACGAAGGCACGUGUUGACAGGGAGGAGUGGGACGAAGGACGAAGGCACGUGUUGACAGGGAGGAGUGGACGAAGGACGAAGGCACGUGUUGACAGGGAGGAGUGGACGAAGGACAAAGGCACGUGUUGACAGCUCUGAGUGGGACGAAGGACGAAGGACAAAGGCACGGGUUGACAGCUCUGAGUGGGACGAAGGACGAAGGACAAAGGCACGUGUUGACAGCUCUGAGUGGACGAAGGACAAAGGCACGUGUUGACAGGGAGGAGUGGACAAAGGACGAAGGCACGUGUUGACAGCUCUGAGUGGACGAAGGACAAAGGCACGUGUUGACAAAGCUGAGUGGACGAAGGACGAAGGCCCGUGUUGACAGCUCUGAGUGGACGAAGGACGAAGGCACGUGUUGACAGGGCUGAGUGGGACGAAGGACGAAGGCACGUGUUGACAGCUCUGAGUGGGACGAAGGACGAAGGCACGUGUUGACAGCUCUGAGUGGGACGAAGGACGAAGGCACGUGUUGACAGCUCUGAGUGGGACGAAGGACGAAGGCCCGUGUUGACAGCUCUGAGUGGGACGAAGGCACGUGUUGACAGGGCUGAGUGGACGAAGGACGAAGGCACGUGUUGACAGCUCUGAGUGGGACGAAGGACGAAGGCACGUGUUGACAGCUCUGAGUGGGACGAAGGACGAAGGCACGUGUUGACAGCUCUGAGUGGGACGAAGGACGAAGGCACGUGUUGACAGCUCUGAGUGGGACGAAGGACGAAGGCACGUGUUGACAGCUCUGAGUGGGACGAAGGACAAAGGCACGUGUUGACAGCUCUGAGUGGGACGAAGGACGAAGGCACGUGUUGACAGUCUCUCUCUCUCUCUCUCUAGUCAUGGGUUUUAAACGUUUUGGCGAUGGACCAGUCUGCGACCACAAGCUCUAUAGGAUCUAGCAGCACCUUCAUCCACAACUUUCUGGAGUUUUUUUCCCCACUUCUUUCUCUCUGACGUUCUCUAUUCGCCGCAGAGCUCUCGCUGCUUAGCAACAGCCGCCAGACAGAGUGCCAUCGGGGAGUGCGGUUAUGAACUUCUCCUUGAAGCGUAUAGGCUUGUCCUGCUGUGGACAUAAUCUCAAC